CUCUCUCUAAAUUCUCUUAUAUAAAUUAACACUAAGGGAAUUAUUUGGGACACACUGUACAGCUAUUUCUUUGAUUUGGUAUUGAGUAUUGUGAUUUCUUUUUUCAAGCUCAGAUUCUUCUGCUUCACUAAGUUUCCUUCUUAUCUUCUGAUUACUAAAGUUUUUCUUUAUGGAAUCAUCAUGUGUUUUUCUUGAUUACUGGAUUUUGAGUUAUUUUUUUAAAUGAUAAACGGUUAUAUAUUUUGUUGAAUGAGCACGUUGUUUGAUCUGGUAAUUGAUUGAUCUUUUAGGGGUCGUUUGGUACUAUGGAUAAGCAAAAAUAAAUGAUUAUAGGAUAAAAUUUUAGUACCCACUGUUUCUUGUUUGGUUACUAAUUCUGGGAUAAAAAUAAUACCCGGAUAAAGAUAGUGUAGAGGGUGGAAUAGUAAUCUACUAUAAGUUAUGCUAGGAUAAAGCAUUAAAUUGACAAUCCCAUGAUUAAUAUAGCAUACCAAAUAAUUAAUAGGAAAUAAUACUAGAAUACCUGACUCAGGAUAACUAAUUCCAACAUAACUUGUCUUCCAUCCAAACGACUCCUUAAAUUCUGGUUAACUUGCUGUGAGUUUGGUUUUUGAACUAUUGAAACCUCUUACAAGGGAAAGAUUCGUUUAUUUUCCAGAUUACCAAAUUAGGUUUAUUGUACAAUGUUACAUGUUAUUGUUUUAACUUGGCUGUGUUAAAAAAGUUUACUAUCAAUGCUUCGAAGUUGAGGAGGCAACCAAGCAGGGAGGAUAUCAUUCAUGCAUAGCUUCAGACAAGGAAUUGGCGUGGCUCACACUUUGGCAAAUGAAGCUCUCAGAAACAAGAUUUUUGUCAAAAUAUGUAGUUUUGCUAAGCUUUCUAAUUUUGUAAUCGAUCUUUAUGAAAGAAAUAUGGAGGACUAUGUCUACGUAAGAUUGUGUAGUACCAAACAAUGCGAAACUCUAGCUGCUCUAGAAAAUAUUAGUGCCGUAGAUGGCCUAAUGGUUGGCAAAAGUAAUGCAUGUAUAAACAAUAUCCAUAGGGAGGAGACAACCCUCCCUAAUUAGCUUUAUAUAAUAUAUAUAUAUAUAUAUACUUUUCUUUCAAAAAGAAAAAAAAAAGGCGCAG
rnacentral:lncRNA from 1 species